UUUGGAGUGUUGGGGACUUUCUUUGUUGUACCUAACCACAAAUAAAAUACCAACGAAUGGUUGGUGUUUUAGAAAUCUGUUGCGUUUAUUGUAUGUGAAAAUCAUGAACUUGCACUUUGUAUUUUUUAAUACAAUAAACGCAACAGAUUUCUAGAACACCAACCAAUCGUUGGUAUUUUAUUUGUGGUUAGGUAUUACAAUUCG
rnacentral:misc_RNA from 1 species